UACGUAGGGUGCGAGCGUUUGUCCGGAAUUAUUGGGCGUAAAGGGCUCGUAGGCGGUUUGUCGCGUCGGGAGUGAAAUCCACUGGCUUAACUGGUGGCUUGCUUUCGAUACGGGCAGACUGGAGGUAUGCAGGGGGAGAACGGAAUUCCUGGUGUAGCGGUGAAAUGCGCAGAUAUCAGGAGGAACACCGGUGGCGAAGGCGGUUCUCUGGGCAUGUCCUGACGCUGAGGAGCGAAAGUGUGGGGGAGCGAACAGG
rnacentral:rRNA from 1 species